AGGGUUUGAUCCUGGCUCAGAACGAACGCUGGCGGCAGGCCUAAUACAUGCAAGUCGAACGAACCCCUCGGGGUGAGUGGCGCACGGGUGAGUAACACGUGGGAAUCUACACUAGGGUACGGAAUAACUCACCGAAAGGUGUGCUAAUACCGUAUAACAUCUCCGGAUCAAAGAUUUAUCGCCCUAGAAUGAGCCCGCGUUUGAUUAGAUUGUUGGUGAGGUAACGGCUCACCAAGUCGACGAUCAAUAGCUGGUCUGAGAGGAUGAUCAGCCACACUGGUACUGAGACACGGACCAGACUCCUACGGGAGGCAGCAGUAAGGGAUAUUGGACAAUGGAGGAAACUCUGAUCCAGCCAUGCCGCGUGAGUGAAGAAGGCCUUCGGGUUGUAAAACUCUUUCAGUAGUGAAGAUGAUGACGGUAACUACAGAAGAAGCUCCGGCUAACUUCGUGCCAGCAGCCGCGGUAAUACGAAGGGGGCGAGCGUUGUUCGGAAUCACUGGGCUUAAAGCGUAUGUAGGCGGACUUGCAAGUCAGAAGUGAAAGCCUGGGGCUCAACCCCAGAACUGCUUUUGAAACUGCAAAUCUAGUGUCCCGGAGAGGUUGGCGGAAUUCCGAGUGUAGAGGUGAAAUUCGCAGAUAUUCGGAGGAACACCAGUGGCGUAGGCGGCCAGCUGGACGGGUACAGA
rnacentral:rRNA from 1 species